rnacentral:rRNA from 1 species
GUCAGCAGCCGCGGUAACACCGGCGGCCCGAGUGGUGAUCGUGAUUAUUGGGUCUAAAGGGUCCGUAGCCGGUUUGGUCAGUCCUCCGGGAAAUCUGAUAGCUCAACUAUUAGGCUUUCGGGGGAUACUGCCAGACUUGGAACCGGGAGAGGUAAGAGGUACUACAGGGGUAGGAGUGAAAUCUUGUAAUCCCUGUGGGACCACCUGUGGCGAAGGCGUCUUACCAGAACGGGUUCGACGGUGAGGGACGAAAGCUGGGGGCACGAACCGGAUUAGAUACCCGGGUAGUCCCAGCCGUAAACGAUGCUCGCUAGGUGUCAGGCAUGGCGCGACCGUGUCUGGUGCCGCAGGGAAGCCGUGAAGCGAGCCACCUGGGAAGUACGGCCGCAAGGCUGAAACUUAAAGGAAUUGGCGGGGGAGCACAACAACGGGUGGAGCCCUGCGGUUUAAUUGGACUCAACGCCGGACAACUCACCGGGGGCGACAGCAAUAUGUAGGCCAAGCUGAAGACUUUGCCUGAAUCGCUGAGGAGUGGUGCAUGG